AUUGAACGCUGGCGGCAGGCCUAACACAUGCAAGUCGAGCGGUAGAGAGGUGCUUGCAUCUCUUGAGAGCGGCGGACGGGUGAGUAAUGCCUAGGAAUCUGCCUAGUGGUGGGGGAUAACGUUCGGAAACGGACGCUAAUACCGCAUACGUCCUACGGGAGAAAGCGGGGGAUCUUCGGACCUCGCGCCAUUAGAUGAGCCUAGGUCGGAUUAGCUAGUUGGUGAGGUAAUGGCUCACCAAGGCGACGAUCCGUAACUGGUCUGAGAGGAUGAUCAGUCACACUGGAACUGAGACACGGUCCAGACUCCUACGGGAGGCAGCAGUGGGGGAAUAUUGGACAAUGGGCGAAAGCCUGAUCCAGCAAUGCCGCGUGAGUGAUGAAGGCCUUAGGGUUGUAAAGCUCUUUUACCAGGGAUGAUAAUGACAGUACCUGGAGAAUAAGCUCCGGCUAACUCCGUGCCAGCAGCCGCGGU
rnacentral:rRNA from 1 species